GUUGGUAAAGUGGAAUCAAA
rnacentral:miRNA from 1 species